AUUGAACGCUAGCGGGAUGCCUUACACAUGCAAGUCGAACGGAGUGGCGAACGGGUGAGUAAUGUAUCGGAACGUGCCCAGUAGCGGGGGAUAACUACGCGAAAGCGUAGCUAAUACCGCAUACUAUUGGAGCGGCCGAUAGCGGAUUAUCUCGGUGGGGGGGUAACGGCUAAACAACGCGACGAACCGUAGCUGGUUGGAGGGGACGACCAUCCACACUGGGACUGAGACACUGCCCAGACUCCUACGGGAGGCAGCAGUGGGGAAUUUUGGACAAUGGGGGAAACCCUGAUCCAGCCAUCCCGCGUGUGCGAUGAAGGCCUUCGGGUUGUAAAGCACUUUUGGCAGGAAAGCGGUACCUGCAGAAUAAGCACCGGCUAACUACGUGCCAGCAGCCGCGGUAAUUC
rnacentral:rRNA from 1 species